rnacentral:piRNA from 1 species
ACGUGCAUAAUAAGUGCGCUCAUGUGCACAUU